UACGUAGGUGGCGAGCGUUACUCGGAAUCACUGGGCAUAAAGGGCGUGUAGGCGGGCGCGUAAGUCCGGUGUAAAAGCCCCCGGCUCAACCGGGGAAGGCCAUUGGAUACUGCGUGUCUUGAGUGCGGGAGGGGAGAGUGGAACUCUUGGUGGAGCGGUGAAAUGCGUAGAUAUCAAGAGGAACGCCGGUGGCGAAAGCGACUCUCUGGCCCGUUACUGACGCUGAGGCGCGAAAGCUAGGGGAGCAAACGGGAUUAGAUACCCCGGUAGUCCUAGCCCUAAACGAUGAGCACUAGGUAGGGGCGGCUCCGAUGUCGUCUCUGCCGUAGCUAAUGUGCUAAGUGCUCCGCCUGGGGAGUACGGUCGCAAGGCUGAA
rnacentral:rRNA from 1 species